CAAGUCGAGGGGCAGCAGGACUGUAGCAAUACAGUUGCUGGCGACCGGCAAACGGGUGCGGAACACGUACGCAACUUACCCAAAACCGGGGAAUAGCCCGGGGAAACCCGGAUUAAUACCUCGUAAGAUAAUGAAGUGGCAUCACUUUAUUAUUAUAGCUCCGGCGGUUUUGGAUGGGCGUGCGCCUGAUUAGGUAGUUGGCGGGGUAACGGCCCACCAAGCCUACGAUCAGUAACUGGUGUGAGAGCACGACCAGUCACACGGGCACUGAGACACGGGCCCGACUCCUACGGGAGGCAGCAGUAAGGAAUAUUGGUCAAUGGACGCAAGUCUGAACCAGCCAUGCCGCGUGAAGGAUGAAGGUCCUCUGGAUUGUAAACUUCUUUUAUAUGGGAAGAAACCCACUUUUUCUUGAGUGGUUGACGGUACCAUAAGAAUAAGCACCGGCUAACUCCGUGCCAGCAGCCGCGGUAAUACGGAGGGUGCAAGC
rnacentral:rRNA from 1 species